UACGGAGGGUGCGAGCGUUAAUCGGAAUUACUGGGCGUAAAGCGUGUGCAGGCGGUUUGUUAAGCGAGAUGUGAAAGCCCCGGGCUCAACCUGGGAACCGCAUUUCGAACUGGCAAACUAGAGUCUUGUAGAGGGGGGUAGAAUUCCAGGUGUAGCGGUGAAAUGCGUAGAGAUCUGGAGGAAUACCGGUGGCGAAGGCGGCCCCCUGGACAAAGACUGACGCUCAGGCACGAAAGCGUGGGGAGCAAACAGG
rnacentral:rRNA from 1 species